AUGAGCCACCGGUAGCUGAGCUGACCGACGUCCUGGAGUUGGUGGCAAAGAUCAGGGAUCUGAAGGCCAAGGGAGUCACCGGGGCGUUGGUUGCCUACUCCUUCGAGCGUCGCAUCCAGCCGCUCCAGAAGAGGACCUAGGGGUUCGAGUACCGCGGUACUGCUGACCCGUCUAGGAUGACCAAGGAGGUGCCUUCGGUGGAGGAGAUUACGAGGCAAGUACAACGCACCCUUGUGGAUGUCAACUCAGAGCAUUAUAUCCUGAAGCUGUAUAGUGCUAGUAACCCUUCGGAGGUGGCAGAUCUGGCCCAAUUCUUAUCCAAGUCGCCGUUGCUGGAGGAUGAUGUGCCGGCGGCCGAGGACUACGACAACCAAACCCUGUCUGCCCAGAUGCAGAGUAGGGGAGGAGCGAGUGCCCAGGAGACUCCAAGCUCUCCUAGUGGUGGAGCCAUGCAUAGUCCUUCGUGCAAGCCGAGGUCAGCCGUGCGCAAGCGGAAGGCCGUCAUCCCCGCCGAUAAUGAUGAUGAUUAGCAGCCCGAUGAUGCUGAUGUGAACCCCGAGCCCCCGAGGCAAAGGGAUAAUGUUCUAGUAGUCGGGGAGCGCACCGCGUCAGGGCAAACUGUGCCCUUGGCAUCCUUAGGUGAGACCCCAUGUACCCAGAAGACCAUGCUUGGGCAAUCGGUGCCCUUGGCUGAUGAUGCAGCGCCAGCGAGCACUAAGGGUGCCACACCAGCACCCAAGGCGCUUAAGGUGCCAAGUAAAAUUAUCUUGUAGAUUUCCACCUGGAGGUCCUCCUCUCUAGGCGGGAAACAGUCUGGGACCUUAUCUGCGGGCAGGGGUGAAUACCCUGCUCCGCAGAUGUAGGGAGCCUCGACUGCUCCAGCCCCUAAGCAUGUGCAUCAGUCGGAUGUUGGAACGUUGGGGGGCCAACCAUGGACACCGCCCCUGGAGAUGUGCCGCCGCGCCCGUUCAUGCCCAAACCGCUGAUGUUAACACGGGUGCAGAGCAAGAUGAAGGGAGGGAACUCGAGCCGGCCAUCUUGGCGCCUGAAUUGCCAGACCUCGGGCAAUCUAGUCCGGGAUGAGUAGAGCCGCCCCCGCCCGCCCCUAAAGAUCUUAUUGAGGCGCAAGCCAUUUGAACAGGCGAGGUGGCAAGUACGAAGUGCAUAGAAGUGGCAGAGCAGCUGCAGAAGAACACCGAAGGCGUACAUGCUGCUGGCACUUCUACCGCUGAGGGUUCCAGCCUUACAUUGACUGGUGGUGACGUGCCUCGUCUUGAUGCAGAGUUGUUUGAAGAUCCACUACUGCAUCCAGAUCAAAUCGCCUGCAUGUUGGAGUACGGUCGUCGUUUCACCGAGUACACUAAGGUAUGUACCUGGUCUUGUGUCAAUCAGUACUCUUUGACGUAUAUGGAAAUCCUGACUUCAUUGCUUUUGUUGAGUCGAAAUUGAUCAAGCGCUCGAAGGAGAAAUCCCAGGUGAUGUAUGCCACAGCUGACGGGCUCCGCCGAGCGGAAACUUUGGAGAAAUAGCUUGCCGAGGAGAAGGCCAGGAUUGCAAGUUUGCAAGAGCGACUUGACAGCGCCGGAUCCACCUACCGGAACCAGAUCAUGAAGCCUGAGAGAAAAUAUGAUGAUAUCUCAAAGAAGAUCUAGGAUAGUACUAUGAAUAAUUUUUAGACUGUAAACUAGCCUCUGCUUGUUAAGAUUUGUGUAAAAAUUUUAAGGCCAGAACAUAUCUCUACGAGUAGUUUUUGUGGGAUCUUGUUUGAUGUGCUAUUUUGCUAGAGUUAUUUCUUCCUGCUAUUCUACUGAUAUUUUAGGGUUGAAAAUUUUAGGGUUGAAAUUUUUAUA